UACAGAGGGGGCAAGCGUUGUUCGGAAUUACUGGGCGUAAAGGGCGCGUAGGCGGCCCGCUAAGUCGAACGUGAAAUCCCCGAGCUCAACUCGGGAACUGCGUCCGAUACUGGCGGGCUUGAAUCCGGGAGAGGGAUGCGGAAUUCCAGGUGUAGCGGUGAAAUGCGUAGAUAUCGUUUGGAACGCCAAUGGUGAAAACAGGUUGCUGGGGGUGUGCUGACGCUGAGACACGAAAGCCAGGGGAGCAAACGGG
rnacentral:rRNA from 1 species